AGUGAACGCUGGCGGUAGGCCUGACACAUGCAAGUCGAACGGCAGCACAGUAAGAGCUUGCUCUUACGGGUGGCGAGUGGCGGACGGGUGAGGAAUACAUCGGAAUCUACUUUUUCGUGGGGGAUAACGUAGGGAAACUUACGCUAAUACCGCAUACGACCUACGGGUGAAAGCAGGGGAUCUUCGGACCUUGCGCGAUUGAAUGAGCCGAUGUCGGAUUAGCUAGUUGGCGGGGUAAAGGCCCACCAAGGCGACGAUCCGUAGCUGGUCUGAGAGGAUGAUCAGCCACACUGGAACUGAGACACGGUCCAGACUCCUACGGGAGGCAGCAGUGGGGAAUAUUGGACAAUGGGCGCAAGCCUGAUCCAGCCAUACCGCGUGGGUGAAGAAGGCCUUCGGGUUGUAAAGCCCUUUUGUUGGGAAAGAAAAGCAGCAGGUUAAUACCCCGCUGUUCUGACGGUACCCAAAGAAUAAGCACCGGCUAACUUCGU
rnacentral:rRNA from 1 species